UUUAUUGGAGAGUUUGAUCCUGGCUCAGGAUGAACGCUGGCGGCGUGCCUAAUACAUGCAAGUCGAGCGAAUGGAUUGAGAGCUUGCUCUCAAGAAGUUAGCGGCGGACGGGUGAGUAACACGUGGGUAACCUGCCCAUAAGACUGGGAUAACUCCGGGAAACCGGGGCUAAUACCGGAUAACAUUUUGAACUGCAUGGUUCGAAAUUGAAAGGCGGCUUCGGCUGUCACUUAUGGAUGGACCCGCGUCGCAUUAGCUAGUUGGUGAGGUAACGGCUCACCAAGGCAACGAUGCGUAGCCGACCUGAGAGGGUGAUCGGCCACACUGGGACUGAGACACGGCCCAGACUCCUACGGGAGGCAGCAGUAGGGAAUCUUCCGCAAUGGACGAAAGUCUGACGGAGCAACGCCGCGUGAGUGAUGAAGGCUUUCGGGUCGUAAAACUCUGUUGUUAGGGAAGAACAAGUGCUAGUUGAAUAAGCUGGCACCUUGACGGUACCUAACCAGAAAGCCACGGCUAACUACGUGCCAGCAGCCGCGGUAAUACGUAGGU
rnacentral:rRNA from 1 species